rnacentral:lncRNA from 1 species
CUGAAGACACAUGUCACACCCCGCUAAAGCGGAAACGCAAGGUAUGACAGCGAUAACGGUUUCAAUGCAAAAGAUAAAGAUACAUCACCAUAGCAGUAUUUAAAAGUUUACAACCCAUAGCUUCAAAAGAAACAAAAUACAAGUUUUUCAAAAUAACAUUGUUCAAAAUAUAGCUUCAUAAUAGCUUCAACACGAUGCAGCAUGCUCUAUGAUGAUGAAUCUUUACAUCCACUUACUAAUUACUUCCUGAAAAAGCAUGUAAAACGAGCGUCAACUAUGAAAAUAGUUGGUGAGUAUCACAAGUUUAUAAAUCGAGGGUACAAUAAUGCUUUUCGUAAGUACAAGUACAUUGCUUUAAUGAUAAAACAAAGUUGAUUGCUAUUAAGGUAUACAAGUUUAUUGCUAGAAUGAGAAACGCGUUUGUAUGCGUAUGAGCAAACAAUGAGUCUCAACCAAACCUAUGAUUGAAGCCCUAUCGAGAUCUAUGCUUAUCGUUCCAUAGAUGAAUAUGGUAUCAUGCACUCCAGCGAUUCGGGCGAGUGAGGAGUUGUCAAUUCCUAAUAGCGCUAUCCAUAAUGACCAUUGGCUCAAAGAGUUAAUGGUUAGAGAUAAGGGAAGGGCCUUAGUACGAUAAGUUCUCAUGUUCCGUGUUGCAUAGACAUACAUAAAGAAACAUAGCAAUACAAUAGCAAUCAUGUUUGAUACAAAUCAAUUUAAAUACAACAUGCAAAUAAUAGUUUUUCUGGACAUGCUUUUCCACCCCAAAACAUAAAAACCGAAAAUAGGGGAGUGCGUGAAUACUCACGAUGUUUCGUGUAGGCACAAGCAGUACUUCGGGAUGCACCAACGUCUUACUACCGGGAUCCUACGACAUCAAACACACACACUAGUGAGUUUCCAUGUCGAAAUCUAAUGCUAAUAUACUAAACUCUACAUAUAGGGAAAUGCCCAUUUAUGUUUUAAUAUUGGAUUUUUAUAUCAAUUGGUUACACUUUUUCUGAAAUAUUGAAUUUUACAAGUCGUGUGAUUAAUUACAACUUUGGAAUAUUAAUUUUCCAAAUUUUUAAGUCUCUAUAACAACAUAAAUUCACGAAAAAUAGCAUUUGAGGGAUAAAAAUUCUCAAACUUUUUAUUUAACUGAUAUUACACAAUACAAUGCUGGGAAAAAUAUAAAAAUGGAUUGUCAAGCUGUUUAAUUAUAUUUUAUGAUUUAUGGGCAUUUAUUCCAAUAAAAAUUGAAAUAAAUAGAAAAAAGUUUCCAAAAUUAGCCAAACUUUUUAUUUAAUUGUUAUUGUACAAAAUAGACUGNNNNCUGGGAAAAAUAUAAAAGAUAUUUUUCAGUGGGUAUUUCUAUUUUUCCUUGUUUUAUUCCUUUAAAUAGUCAUUAAUUAAAGAAAUAAUAUUAAACAGUUAAAAUAAAUCACCAUAAAUUUUUGUAACAUCAUAUACAGUACCAAUAAACUGGAAAAAAUAUCAAAAGUGGUUUCCAUAAUGUAUAAACCGGUUUUGGGUAUUUAUGUGUAUUUAAGUAUAUUUUAGUGCAAUUAACUUUAGAAAAUAAGAGAAAAAUAGUUUACAGUAGAGAAAAAUUCUCAAACCUUUUAUGUAACCUCCUAAUGUACAAUAUGAUAUGAUGGUAAAUUUUCAUAAAUUUUGGAUAAUCAGAACUAUUUUUCCCAUUUUUAGACCAUUAUAAUUACCAAAAACUGGGAAAAAUAGCUAGACAUGAUGAAAAAUCUUGAAAUUAUUUUCUGGAGUCACCCAACACAGUUAAGGUAUGCGAAAAUUGUUAGAUACAAUUUUCACAUCGUCUAAAGUGGUUUUGUAAUUUAUCAUGCCCUAAACAAAAUAAAAUUAGAAAUCAUAUGAAACAGAAACAAAAAUUGCUGAAAUUUGGUGACGGGUCAUUAUUCCCCAUAAGAAUCAUCCACGAAUUUAUUUAGGAUUUAUUGACCUCCGGAAGUAUUUUAUAUGAUUUAUGUCCUUGGUUUUAGCAAUAAUUCUAAUAAAUCAAAGAAAUAACAAAAGCUCUUGAAAUUUUCCAGAUUAUCUCAUGCAUGCAAGGGCUUUCAAAAGGAAAAAUGUUAAGAAUGUAUUCAGAAGAGAAAUGAGGGUAAUGAUUCCAAACAAUUUAAGAAAAGUUGCAUGCAAUAAUGCAUGAAGUGUAAAUGUGGCUGAAGUUCAUGAAUUUGUGUAGCCCAUUCAGUGAGGUUUUAAGCCACGAAAUUUCAACCAUCAUUCACUAGAUAUGUUAAGUUUCUAAGGUACUUUUCCUCAGAUUUAUGGUUGGGUUUAAGGCCAUUGUUUAAGCAAGAUAAAAAUAGUGAUCACAGAAAAAGAGCUGUAUGCGCAACCUUUUUGUAAAAUCUGCUAAAAAUCGGAUAUUUAAUAUUUUACAGUGAGACCAGUUGGGUUUGAAAGUUAACUCGUGGAACUAACCAAUACAAAAAGAAUAUCAUGAUUUGGUUAAGAAAUGACUGAGUUAUGACUGUUCAAAGUCGAACAAAGUAAUCUGGCAGAUUGCAUGUUUGCUUGUGUGCAUUAUUAGGGUAUUUCAACAAGAACAUCAUGCAUGUCUUUGGUAAGGCCCGAUUUCUAACACAUGCAUGGAAUGAAUGAGCAUCCAAGAUGUACUAGAAAUGGUUUAAAUGCUUUUGUUC